CGUCUUGGUUAUUGAUGUUAAGUGCUUGCAUUUAAUUGAUUCCACAUUGAGACGAGUGGCGAACUGGUGAGUAACACGUGGGUCACCUGCCCUUGAAGUAGGGGAUAACACUUGGAAACAGGUGCUAAUACCGUAUAACAACCAAAACCACCUGGUUUUGGUUUAAAAGAUGGCUUCGGCUAUCACUUUAGGAUGGACCCGCGGCGUAUUAGCUUGUUGGUAAGGUAACGGCCUACCAAGGCAAUGAUACGUAGCCGACCUGAGAGGGUAAUCGGCCACAUUGGGACUGAGACACGGCCCAAACUCCUACGGGAGGCAGCAGUAGGGAAUCUUCCACAAUGGACGAAAGUCUGAUGGAGCAACGCCGCGUGAGUGAUGAAGGGUUUCGGCUCGUAAAACUCUGUUGUUGGAGAAGAACAGGUGUGAGAGUAACUGUUCACAUCUUGACGGUAUCCAACCAGAAAGCCACGGCUAACUACGUGCCAGCAGCCGCGGUAAUACGUAGGUGGCAAGCGUUGUCCGGAUUUAUUGGGCGUAAAGCGAGCGCAGGCGGUUUCUUAGGUCUGAUGUGAAAGCCUUCGGCUUAACCGGAGAAGUGCAUCGGAAACCAGGAGACUUGAGUGCAGAAGAGGACAGUGGAACUCCAUGUGUAGCGGUGAAAUGCGUAGAUAUAUGGAAGAACACCAGUGGCGAAGGCGGCUGUCUGGUCUGUAACUGACGCUGAGGCUCGAAAGCAUGGGUAGCGAACAGGAUUAGAUACCCUGGUAGUCCAUGCCGUAAACGAUGAGUGCUAAGUGUUGGAGGGUUUCCGCCCUUCAGUACUGCAGCUAACGCAUUAAGCACUCCGCCUGGGGAGUACGACCGC
rnacentral:rRNA from 1 species